rnacentral:rRNA from 1 species
AGGGCGUACUAAUCUGCGAUAAGCGCCGGUAAGGUGAUAUGAACCGUUAUAACCGGCGAUACCCGAAUGGGGAAACCCAGUGUGAUUCGUCACACUAUCAUUAACUGAAUCCAUAGGUUAAUGAGGCGAACCGGGGGAACUGAAACAUCUAAGUACCCCGAGGAAAAGAAAUCAACCGAGAUUCCCCCAGUAGCGGCGAGCGAACGGGGAGGAGCCCAGAGCCUGAAUCAGCAUGUGUGUUAGUGGAAGCGUCUGGAAAGGCGCGCGAUACAGGGUGACAGCCCCGUACACAAAAGCGCAUGUGCUGUGAGCUCGAUGAGUAGGGCGGGACACGUGGUAUCCUGUCUGAAUAUGGGGGGACCAUCCUCCAAGGCUAAAUACUCCUGACUGACCGAUAGUGAACCAGUACCGUGAGGGAAAGGCGAAAAGAACCCCGGCGAGGGGAGUGAAAAAGAACCUGAAACCGUGUACGUACAAGCAGUGGGAGCACAGGUUUACCUGUGUGACUGCGUACCUUUUGUAUAAUGGGUCAGCGACUUAUAUUCUGUAGCAAGGUUAACCGAAUAGGGGAGCCGGAGGGAAACCGAGUCUUAAUUGGGCGUUAAGUUGCAGGGUAUAGACCCGAAACCCGGUGAUCUAGCCAUGGGCAGGUUGAAGGUUGGGUAACACUAACUGGAGGACCGAACCGACUAAUGUUGAAAAAUUAGCGGAUGACCUGUGGCUGGGGGUGAAAGGCCAAUCAAACCGGGAGAUAGCUGGUUCUCCCCGAAAGCUAUUUAGGUAGCGCCUCGUGAAUUCAUCUCCGGGGGUAGAGCACUGUUUCGGCUAGGGGGCCAUCCCGGCUUACCAACCCGAUGCAAACUGCGAAUACCGGAGAAUGUUAUCACGGGAGACACACGGCGGGUGCUAACGUCCGUCGUGAAGAGGGAAACAACCCAGACCGCCAGCUAAGGUCCCAAAGUCAUGGUUAAGUGGGAAACGAUGUGGGAAGGCCCAGACAGCCAGGAUGUUGGCUUAGAAGCAGCCAUCAUUUAAAGAAAGCGUAAUAGCUCACUGGUCGAGUCGGCCUGCGCGGAAGAUGUAACGGGGCUAAACCAUGCACCGAAGCUGCGGCAGCGACACUGUGUGUUGUUGGGUAGGGGAGCGUUCUGUAAGCCUGUGAAGGUGUGUCGUGAGGCAUGCUGGAGGUAUCAGAAGUGCGAAUGCUGACAUAAGUAACGAUAAAGCGGGUGAAAAGCCCGCUCGCCGGAAGACCAAGGGUUCCUGUCCAACGUUAAUCGGGGCAGGGUGAGUCGACCCCUAAGGCGAGGCCGAAAGGCGUAGUCGAUGGGAAACGGGUUAAUAUUCCCGUACUUGGUGUUACUGCGAAGGGGGGACGGAGAAGGCUAUGUUGGCCGGGCGACGGUUGUCCCGGUUUAAGCGUGUAGGUGUGUGUUCCAGGUAAAUCCGGUUCACUUUAACACUGAGGCGUGACGACGAGGCACUACGGUGCUGAAGCAACAAAUGCCCUGCUUCCAGGAAAAGCCUCUAAGCAUCAGGUAACAUCAAAUCGUACCCCAAACCGACACAGGUGGUCAGGUAGAGAAUACCAAGGCGCUUGAGAGAACUCGGGUGAAGGAACUAGGCAAAAUGGUGCCGUAACUUCGGGAGAAGGCACGCUGACACGUAGGUGAAGUGAUUUACUCAUGGAGCUGAAGUCAGUCGAAGAUACCAGCUGGCUGCAACUGUUUAUUAAAAACACAGCACUGUGCAAACACGAAAGUGGACGUAUACGGUGUGACGCCUGCCCGGUGCCGGAAGGUUAAUUGAUGGGGUCAGCGCAAGCGAAGCUCCUGAUCGAAGCCCCGGUAAACGGCGGCCGUAACUAUAACGGUCCUAAGGUAGCGAAAUUCCUUGUCGGGUAAGUUCCGACCUGCACGAAUGGCGUAAUGAUGGCCAGGCUGUCUCCACCCGAGACUCAGUGAAAUUGAACUCGCUGUGAAGAUGCAGUGUACCCGCGGCAAGACGGAAAGACCCCGUGAACCUUUACUAUAGCUUGACACUGAACAUUGAGCCUUGAUGUGUAGGAUAGGUGGGAGGCUUUGAAGUGUGGACGCCAGUCUGCAUGGAGCCGACCUUGAAAUACCACCCUUUAAUGUUUGAUGUUCUAACGUGGACCCGUUACCCGGGUUGCGGACAGUGUCUGGUGGGUAGUUUGACUGGGGCGGUCUCCUCCUAAAGAGUAACGGAGGAGCACGAAGGUUGGCUAAUCCUGGUCGGACAUCAGGAGGUUAGUGCAAUGGCAUAAGCCAGCUUGACUGCGAGCGUGACGGCGCGAGCAGGUGCGAAAGCAGGUCAUAGUGAUCCGGUGGUUCUGAAUGGAAGGGCCAUCGCUCAACGGAUAAAAGGUACUCCGGGGAUAACAGGCUGAUACCGCCCAAGAGUUCAUAUCGACGGCGGUGUUUGGCACCUCGAUGUCGGCUCAUCACAUCCUGGGGCUGAAGUAGGUCCCAAGGGUAUGGCUGUUCGCCAUUUAAAGUGGUACGCGAGCUGGGUUUAGAACGUCGUGAGACAGUUCGGUCCCUAUCUGCCGUGGGCGCUGGAGAACUGAGGGGGGCUGCUCCUAGUACGAGAGGACCGGAGUGGACGCAUCACUGGUGUUCGGGUUGUCAUGCCAAUGGCACUGCCCGGUAGCUAAAUGCGGAAGAGAUAAGUGCUGAAAGCAUCUAAGCACGAAACUUGCCCCGAG